rnacentral:rRNA from 1 species
AUGAACGCUGGCGGCGUGCCUAAUACAUGCCAGUUGAGCGAACGGACGAGAAGCUUGCUUCUCUGAUGUUAGCGGCGGACGGGUGAGUAACCCGUGGAUAACCUACCUAUAAGACUGGGAUAACUUCGGGAAACCGUAGCUAAUCCCGGAUAAUAUUUUGAACCGCAUGGUUCAAAAGUGAAAGACGGUCUUGCUGUCACUUAUAGAUGGAUCCGCGCUGCAUUAGCUAGUUGGUAAGGUAACGGCUUACCAAGGCAACGAUGCAUAGCCGACCUGAGAGGGGGAUCGGCCACACUGGAACUGAGACACGGUCCAGACUCCUACGGGAGGCAGCAGUAGGGAAUCUUCCGCAAUGGGCGAAAGCCUGACGGAGCAACGCCGCGUGAGUGAUGAAGGUCUUCGGAUCGUAAAACUCUGUUAUUAGGGAAGAACAUAUGUGUAAGUAACUGUGCACAUCUUGACGGUACCUAAUCAGAAAGCCACGGCUAACUACGUG